rnacentral:rRNA from 1 species
ACUCCUGCGGGAGGCAGCAGUGGGGAAUAUUGCACAAUGGGCGCAAGCCUGAUGCAGCCAUGCCGCGUGUAUGAAGAAGGCCUUCGGGUUGUAAAGUACUUUCAGCGGGGAGGAAGGCAAUACGGUUAAUAACCGUGUUGAUUGACGUUACCCGCAGAAGAAGCACCGGCUAACUCCGUGCCAGCAGCCGCGGUAAUACGGAGGGUGCAAGCGUUAAUCGGAAUUACUGGGCGUAAAGCGCACGCAGGCGGUCUGUCAAGUCGGAUGUGAAAUCCCCGGGCUCAACCUGGGAACUGCAUUCGAAACUGGCAGGCUUGAGUCUUGUAGAGGGGGGUAGAAUUCCAGGUGUAGCGGUGAAAUGCGUAGAGAUCUGGAGGAAUACCGGUGGCGAAGGCGGCCCCCUGGACAAAGACUGACGCUCAGGUGCGAAAGCGUGGGGAGCAAACAGGAUUAGAAACCCGGGUAGUCC